GGUUAGUUUUACCCUACUGAUGAACUCAUCGCAAUGGUAAUUGAGCUUAGUACGAGAGGAACCGCUCAUUCAGAUAAUUGGUUUUUGCGGUUGUCCGACCGGGCAGUGCCGCGACGCUACCAUCUGCUGGAUAAUGGCUGAACGCCUCUAAGUCAGAAUCCAUGCCAGAACGCGAUGAUACCUCCCGCACGUUGUAGACGUAUAAGAAUAGGCUCCGGCCUCGCAUCUUAGCUGGCGAUUCCUCUACCGUUCUCGAAGUGAGCGGUAGUAAUUCGCGUAUUGUAAUUUUGACACGCGCGGGAUCAAAUCCUUUGCAGACGACUUAGCUGUGCGAAAGGGUCCUGUAA
rnacentral:rRNA from 1 species